UACGAAGGGGGCUAGCGUUGUUCGGAUUUACUGGGCGUAAAGCGCGCGUAGGCGGGUCACUAAGUCAGGGGGUGAAAUCCCAAGGCUUAACCUUGGAACUGCCCUUGAUACUGGUGACCUGGAGAUCGGGAGAGGUUGGUGGAAUUCCGAGUGUAGAGGUGAAAAUUCGUAGAUAUUCGGAGGAACACCAGAAGCGAAGGCGGCCAACUGGCCCGAUACUGACGCUGAGGCGCGAAAGCGUGGGGAGCAAACGGGAUUGAGAAACCC
rnacentral:rRNA from 1 species